ensembl:lncRNA
CAUCUUCAGAGCAUCUGUUGGCAGAAGGGCUGAGAUGAAAGGCAGCACCAGUGACAGCAUUAAAGGCUGAGAAGCCCCACUGUGUGCCGACACAAGCUGCGGCCGGAGUAAUAGAAAGGUCGGUUCAUACCGAAGUCAAAGGAAAGGGAAAGAUAAAAGAAACCAUUAGGAUGCAUAAACGAUACUCCUUUUUCAAGCGAACGUGUCACUACAGUAGCUUCAGACGGGUGACAAACCUUCAUGCUCUUUCAGCGUGCCGUGUUCGCAUUGAGAUACGGGCCCUUAAAGCUCCAUACAGCUCCCGAUGAAUUCAGCGUCUAUCAUUGCAUUAUAAUUCAACGCUUCUGACAUAACACUCCAGCUUCUGUGAUGGAUAUAAAAGUAAGCUUCUAUCAAGUCAUAUAUCUCUAAGCCCUGCGCCACUGAUCCUAGCCAGAGCAAUUUAUAACCGCUGAAAAACAAGCUUUUUAUCUUCUUAUCUGGCUGCUUUACAAGAGUUGUCAGCUCCAUGGUCCACUGGCUAAGAAAACCAUCCAGAGGAUUUCACAGAGUCAAGACAGACACCGGGGAACAAAGAGGUUUAGUUAUAAACUGCUGUUUAAGGAGAUUUGACAGGCCCUGCCAAUACUGUAAGCCCAUAAAUGUCUCAAAAAGGUGUUUGAUGAUUUGAAUGGCCGUUCAGAACGAUGAGAGUCUCACCGCAAGAAGUGUCCUUUCAGUGCCAGUGCUCAGUUGAAGCAUAAUGCUCUUCAGCUUCUCUGCUAAUUUCCAGGAUGGAAGUCAUUCUCAAGUACUGUUUUAGAAGUGCUAGAAACACUUGACUUGUAGCUUCUCUAUAUUGCAUGAUAAAGGUAUACUUAACACAUGAAUAUAGCUUUGCAUGUUCUUGAAGAUAAUUUACAGAUUUUAUACUUAUUCAAGAUUACAUCUUAAAAAUGGAAUGCAUUAAAAUAUAGAUCAACUUGAUAUCUUUAAUCACAGAUUACAGUCGACGAUACUUAAAACCAUGAAUACUGUAAGUAUUAAAAUUGCAGAAUAGGUAGUAAUGGUUA